UGGAGACCAUUUCUUGGUCUAAAAUCCGUAGGUGUUAGCCUCUAGUAUUAUUGAAAAUGGUCGCUCAUGGCUAUUUUCAUAAAAAAUGGGGGUUGUGUGGCCAUUGAUCAUCGACCAGAGGCUCGUACACCUCACCCCACAUAUGUUUCCUUGCCAUAGAUUACAUUCUUGGAUUUCUGGUGGAAACCAUUUCUUGGUUAAAAACUCGUACGUGUUAGCCUUCGGUAUUAUUGAAAAUGGUCAUUCAUGGCUAUUUUCGGCAAAAUGGGGGUUGUGUGGCCAUUGAUCAUCGACCAGAGGCUCAUACACCUCACCCCACAUAUGUUUCCUUGCCAUAGAUCACAUUCUUGGAUUUCUGGUGGAGACCAUUUCUUGGUCAAAAAUCCGUAGGUCUUAGCCUCUAGUAUUAUUGAAAAUGGUCGCUCAUGGCUAUUUUCAUAAAAAAUGGGGGUUGUGUGGCCAUUUAUCAUCGACUAGAGGCUCAUAAACCUCACCCCACAUAUGUUUCCUUGCCAUAGAUCACAUUCUUGGAUUUCUGGUGGAGACCAUUUCUUGGUUAAAAACUCGUACGUGUUAGCCUUCGGUAUUAUUGAAAAUGGUCGUUCAUGGCUAUUUUCGACAAAAAUGGGGUUUGUGGCCAUUGAUCAUCGACCAGAGGCUCAUACACCUCACCCCACAUAUGUUUCCUUGCAUAGAUCACAUUCUUGGAUUUCUGGUGGAGACCAUUUCUUGGUCAAAAAUCCGUAGGUGUUAGCCUUCGUAUUAUUGAAAAUGGUCGUUCAUGGCUAUUUUCGACAAAAAUGGGGGUUGUGUGGCCAUUGAUCAUCGACCAGAGGCUCAUACACCUCACCCCACAUAUGUUUCCUUGCCAUAGAUCACAUUCUUGGAUUUCUGGUGGAGACCAUUUCUUGGUCAAAAAUCCGUAGGUGUUAGCCUUCGGUAUUAUUGAAAAUGGUCGUUCAUGGCUAUUUUCGACAAAAAUGGGGGUUGUGUGGCCAUUGAUCAUCGACCAGAGGCUCAUACACCUCACCCCACAUAUGUUUCCUUGCCAUAGAUCACAUUCUUGGAUUUCUGGUGGAGACCAUUUCUUGGUCAAAAAUCCGUAGGUGUUAGCCUCUAGUAUUAUUGAAAAUGGUCGCUCAUGGCUAUUUUCCAGGUCGCUCAUGGCUAUUUUCAUAAAAAUGGGGGUUGUGUGGCCAUUUAUCAUCGACUAGAGGCUCAUAAACCUCACCCCACAUAUGUUUCCUUGCCAUAGAUCACAUUCUUGGAUUUCUGGUGGAGACCAUUUCUUGGUAAAAAUCCGUAGUGUUAGCCUUCGGUAUUAUUGAAAAUGGUCAUUCAUGGCUAUUUUCAGCAAAAUGGGGGUUGUGUGGCCAUUGAUCGUCGACCAGAGGCUCAUACACCUCACCCCACAUAUGUUUCCUUGCCAUAGAUCACAUUCUUGGAUUUCUGGUGGAGACCAUUUCUUGGUCAAAAAUCCGUAGGUGUUAGCCUUCGUAUUAUUGAAAAUGGUCGUUCAUGGCUAUUUUCGACAAAAAUGGGGUUGUGUGGCCAUUGAUCAUCGACCAGAGGCUCAUACACCUCACCCCACAUAUGUUUCCUUGCCAUAGAUCACAUUCUUGGAUUUCUGGUGGAGACCAUUUCUUGGUCAAAAAUCCGUAGGUGUUAGCCUUCGUAUUAUUGAAAAUGGUCGUUCAUGGCUAUUUUCGCAAAAUGGGGGUUGUGUGGCCAUUGAUCAUCGACCAGAGGCUCAUACACCUCACCCCACAUAUGUUUCCUUGCCAUAGAUCACAUUCUUGGAUUUCUGGUGGAGACCAUUUCUUGGUCAAAAAUCCGUAGGUGUUAGCCUUCGGUAUUAUUGAAAAUGGUCAUUCAUGGCUAUUUUCGACAAAAAUGGGGGUUGUGUGGCCAUUGAUCAUCGACCAGAGGCUCAUACACCUCACCCCACAUAUGUUUCCUUGCCAUAGAUCACAUUCUUGGAUUUCUGGUGGAGACCAUUUCUUGGUCAAAAAUCCGUAGGUGUUAGCCUUCGUAUUAUUGAAAAUGGUCGUUCAUGGCUAUUUUCGACAAAAAUGGGGGUUGUGUGGCCAUUGAUCAUCGACCAGAGGCUCAUACACCUCACCCCACAUAUGUUUCCUUGCCAUAGAUCACAUUCUUGGAUUUCUGGUGGAGACCAUUUCUUGGUCAAAAAUCCGUAGGUGUUAGCCUUCGGUAUUAUUGAAAAUGGUCGCUCAUGGCUAUUUUCGACAAAAAUGGGGGUUGUGUGGCCAUUGAUCAUCGACCAGAGGCUCAUACACCUCACCCCACAUAUGUUUCCUUGCCAUAGAUCACAUUCUUGGAUUUCUGGUGGAAACCAUUUCUUGGUUAAAAAUCCGUACGUGUUAGCCUUCGGUAUUAUUGAAAAUGGUCAUUCAUGGCUAUUUUCGCAAAAUGGGGGUUGUGUGGCCAUUGAUCAUCGACCAGAGGCUCAUACACCUCACCCCACAUAUGUUUCCUUGCCAUAGAUCACAUUCUUGGAUUUCUGGUGGAGACCAUUUCUUGGUCAAAAAUCCGUAGGUGUUAGCCUCUAGUAUUAUUGAAAAUGGUCGCUCAUGGCUAUUUUCAUAAAAAUGGGGGUUGUGUGGCCAUUUAUCAUCGACUAGAGGCUCAUAAACCUCACCCCACAUAUGUUUCCUUGCCAUAGAUCACAUUCUUGGAUUUCUGGUGGAGACCAUUUCUUGGUCAAAAAUCCGUACGUGUUAGCCUUCGGUAUUAUUGAAAAUGGUCGUUCAUGGCUAUUUUCGGCAAAAUGGGGGUUGUGUGGCCAUUGAUCAUCGACCAGAGGCUCAUACACCUCACCCCACAUAUGUUUCCUUGCCAUAGAUCACAUUCUUGGAUUUCUGGUGGAGACCAUUUCUUGGUCAAAAAUCCGUACGUGUUAGCCUUUGGUAUUUUUGAAAAUGGUCAUUCAUGGCUAUUUUCGACAAAAAUGGGGGUUGUGUGGCCAUUGAUCAUCGACUAGAGGCUCAUACACCUCACCCCACAUAUGUUUCCUUGCCAUAGAUCACAUUCUUGGAUUUCUGGUGGAGACCAUUUCUUGGUCAAAAAUCUGUAGGUGUUAGCCUUCGUAUUAUUGAAAAUGGUCGUUCAUGGCUAUUUUCGACAAAAAUGGGGGUUGUGUGGCCAUUGAUCAUCGACCAGAGGCUCAUACACCUCACCCCACAUAUGUUUCCUUGCGUAGAUCACAUUCUUGGAUUUCUGGUGGAGACCAUUUCUUGGUCAAAAAUCCGUAGGUGUUAGCCUCUAGUAUUAUUGAAAAUGGUCGCAUUCAUGGCUAUUUUCAUAAAAAAUGGGGUUGUGUGGCCAUUUAUCAUCGACUAGAGGCUCAUAACCUCACCCCACAUAUGUUUCCUUGCAUAGAUCACAUUCUUGGAUUUCUGGUGGAGACCAUUUCUUGGUCAAAAAUCCGUAGGUGUUAGCCUUCGUAUUAUUGAAAAUGGUCGUUCAUGGCUAUUUUCGACAAAAAAUGGGGGUUGUGUGGCCAUUGAUCGUCGACCAGAGGCUCAUACAC
rnacentral:lncRNA from 1 species